GCAUAUCAAUAAGCGGAGGAAAAGAAACUAACAAGGAUUCCCUAGUAACUGCGAGUGAACCGGGAAAAGCUCAAAUUUAAAAUCUGAUAGUCUUUGGCUGUCCGAGUUGUAAUCUGGAGAAGCGUCUUCCGCGCUGGACCGUGUACAAGUCUCUUGGAACAGAGCGUCAUAGAGGGUGAGAAUCCCGUCUUUGACACGGACUACCAGUGCUUUGUGAUGCGCUCUCAAAGAGUCGAGUUGUUUGGGAAUGCAGCUCAAAAUGGGUGGUAAAUUCCAUCUAAAGCUAAAUAUUGGCGAGAGACCGAUAGCGAACAAGUACCGUGAGGGAAAGAUGAAAAGCACUUUGGAAAGAGAGUUAAACAGUACGUGAAAUUGCUGAAAGGGAAACGCUUGAAGUCAGUCGCGUUCGCUAGUACUCAGCCUGUCUUUUGAUUGGUGCAUUUACUUGUGAACGGGCCAGCAUCAGUUUUGGCUGCGGGAUAAAGAUCAGAGGAAUGUGGCACCCUCGGGUGUGUUUAUAGCCUUUGGUCAUAUACCGCGGCUGGGACUGAGGAUCUCAGCACGCCUUUAUGGCGGGGGUUCGCCCACCUUCGUGCUUAGGAUGCUGGCGUAAUGGCUUUAAACGACCCGUCUUGAAACACGGACCAAGGAGUCUAACAUGCCUGCGAGUGUUUGGGUGGUAAACCCGAGCGCGUAAUGAAAGUAAAAGUUGGGACCUCUGUCGUGGAGGGCACCGACGCCCGGACCAGACCUUCUGUGACGGAUCCGCGGUAGAGCAUGUAUGUUGGGACCCGAAAGAUGGUGAACUAUGCCUGAAUAGGGUGAAGCCAGAGGAAACUCUGGUGGAGGCUCGUAGCGAUUCUGACGUGCAAAUCGAUCGUCAAAUUUGGGUAUAGGGGCGAAAGACUAAUCGAACCAUCUAGUAGCUGGUUCCUGC
rnacentral:rRNA from 1 species